CACCAUCUGUUCCCCUCUUAGGAUCCCUGGGGCAGAUGAUAGGUGAACCCCACAUCCCAGACACAUGGCCACCAAAGAUAUUCUUGCUUUUUUAAUGUUUAUCAAGUUCCUCCGCAGACAACAGAAACCAGAAAGUGAUCCGCUGCCAGCGACAGGGAGACACACAACUGGUCCUUAUUCUAAAGACCCGACCCAGCCUGGAAUGGGGCCCGGCGAGGAGUUCUUGCGCCGGCCGCGGGGACUGGGCGGUAAUGAGCCGCUAGUCUCGGAAGGUGGUGCUGUUGGGUGUGAGGGGAGAUCCGGCUUGCGCUGAAACAGCGAGCGGCGUGCAAGGAGGAAGCCGCGAUUUCCAAGGCGGAUUCCCU
rnacentral:lncRNA from 1 species